rnacentral:lncRNA from 1 species
CUAGAGAGGAGGAUGAGGAAAGGAGACUCCACAUCAUGGAGAGGAGGGGGAGGAUAGGAGACUAACACAUCAUGAAGAGGAGGAGGAGGAGGAGAGACCACAUCAUGGAGAGAAGGAGGAGGAGACCACGCAUCAUAGAGAAGAGGAAGAGAGGAGACACCAGAUCAUAAAGAGGAGGAAGAGAAGGAGAGAGACCCCACAUCACGAAGAGGAGAGGAGGAGACCCCACAUCAUGAAGAGUAGGAGAGGAGACCCCAGAUGUUGUUGAGGAGGAUGAGGAAAGGAGACCCCACAUCAUAGAGAGAAGGAGGAGGAGGAGUUUAGACCCCACAUCAUGGAGAGGAGGAGGAGAGGAGAGGAGACACCACAUUAUAGAGAGAAGGAGGAGGAGAGGAGACCCCACAUCAUGAAGAGGAGGAGGAGGAGGAGUUUAGACCCCACAUCAUGGAGAGGAGGAGGAGAGGAGACACCACAUCAUUGAGAGGAGGAGGAGGAAAGGAGACCCCACAUCUUGGAGAUGAGGAGAGGAGACCCCACAUCAUGAAGAGGAGGAGGAGGAGGAGUUUAGACCCCACAUCAUGGAGAGGAGGAGGAGAGGAGACACCACAUCAUUGAGAGGAGGAGGAGGAAAGGAGACCCCACAUCUUGGAGUGGGGGGGAGGAGACCCCACAUCAUGAAAAGGAGGAGGAGGAGGAGACACCACAUCAUAGAGAGGAGAAGGAGGAGAGGAGAUCCCACAUCAUUGAGAGGAGAAGGAGGAGAGGAGAUCCCACAUCAUGGAGAGGUGGAGGAGGAGAGGAGACCCCACAUCAUGGAGAGGUGGAGGAGGAGAGGAGACCCCACAUCAUGGAGAGGUGGAGGAGGAGAGGAGACCCCACAUCAUGGAGAGGAGGAGGAAAGGAGACCGCACAUCAUGGAGAGGGGGAGAGGGGACCCCACGUUAUGGAGAGGAGGAGGAGGAGAGGAGACCCCACAUCAUAGAGAGAAGGAGGAGAGGAGACCGCACAUCAUGGAGAGGGGAGGGGAGACCCCACAUCAUGGAGAGGAGGAGGAGGAGGAGAGGAGACCCCACAUCAUGGAGAGGUGGAGGAGGAGAGGAG